GAUAACCUGGGGAAACCCAGGCUAAUACCGCAUACGUCCUACGGGAGAAAGGGGGCUCCGGCUCCCGCUAUGGGAUGAGCCUAUGUCGGAUUAGCUAGUUGGUGAGGUAACGGCUCACCAAGGCCGCGAUCCGUAGCUGGUCUGAGAGGAUGAUCAGCCACAUCGGGACUGAGACACGGCCCGAACUCCUACGGGAGGCAGCAGUGGGGAAUAUUGGACAAUGGGGGAAACCCUGAUCCAGCCAUGCCGCGUGUGUGAAGAAGGCCCUCGGGUUGUAAAGCACUUUCAGCGAGGAAGAACGCCUAGCGGUUAAUACCCGCUAGGAAAGACAUCACUCGCAGAAGAAGCACCGGCUAACUCCGUGCCAGCAGCCGCGGUAAUACGGAGGGUGCAAGCGUUAAUCGGAAUUACUGGGCGUAAAGCGCGCGUAG
rnacentral:rRNA from 1 species